UCAUAGUAACCAGGAGUGGUAUGGUGUUGAUAUCAUAUAGUCACAGUAGCCAGGAGUGUUAUGGUGUUGAUAUGGUGUAGUCAUAGUAACCAGGAGUGGUAUGGUGUUGAUAUCAUGUAGUCAUAGUAACCAGGAGUGGUAUGGUGUUGAUAUCAUGUAGUCAUAGUAACCAGGAGUGGUAUGGUGUUGAUAUCAUAUAGUCACAGUAACCAGGAGUGUUAUGGUGUUGAUAUGGUGUAGUCAUAGUAACCAGGAGUGGUAUGGUGUUGAUAUCAUGUAGUCAUAGUAACCAGGAGUGGUAUGGUGUCUAUAUGGUCUAGUCAUAGUAACCAGGAGUGGAAUGGUGUUGAUAUCUCGGACUGUUUAUCUGUAUCAUUGACCCCUAUGGAGAAUGCAGCUGUUUGACCCCUAUGGAGAAUGUAGCUGUUUGACCCCUAUGGAGAAUGUAGCUGUUAAUCUGUAUCAUUGACCCCUAUGGAGAAUGUAGCUGUUAAUCUGUAUCAUUGACCCCUAUGGAGAAUGUAGCUGUUAAUCAGUAUUAUUGGUGUUUGAUGAGUAUUUACCACUAUAUGUAAAGUUGGGAUAUAUAAGAUACGCCAUACGAGCGUUCGUGUAAAAAGUGACAGAAGUUUCAUAUUCCUGAUUUCCCAGAAUGCCCUGUUAGGGUGAAAGAGGUUGAGGAGUCAAGGAUCAGGGCUGUACAGUAAGUCUCCUAUGUGGAGGUGAUGAAGAGAGUUGAAGGGAAAAGAGGCCACAGUUCUGAAGAAGAGAUGGAGGUGGAUGAACCACAACCAGUUGUAAAUGUUGUACGUCAAUCAAGUGAUCUGGAAACACUUAUUGUGGAGAAGGUGAUUUUUGUAACAUUUACAGCCACAGUUAUUAAUUGUACUGCAGAAGUGUCCAAGAAGUUGGAAAUCAUUAUAACUGCAGCCGAGAAGUUUUUGGGCCUCCAAGACUUAAUGGCAGAAGCACUUGAAGGACGACUGUCACCAGGAAAUGUCCCUCAUCACAGGAUCCUUCUGAGCCUGGGACCUGAUUCAAAUAUAAAAGCAGGCUGAUUUACUUUAAUUAACAUGAUAGUUUGUAUGGAAUUUGUCAUUUUAUUUUUGUUGAUUAAAUGUUUAUCCUGUUUGGAGACGUAUUAUCCACCUGAAACGUAGGUGGCGGAAUGAACAUAUUGUUGCGAACGCAAUUAUACCAUAGAAGAAGAAUCUCGUGUCCUUAUUCCAGCAAACCCGGAAGUUACAGAGACCGAGAGAGGAACAGAAACAAUCACACAGAGCGCUACUCCAAAACAUUGAUAAGUACAAUAAACGUCACAUGAAUAAAACAUGAAUGAUUUUCUGCCUCAUCCUUGUACCAUAUUGUUACUGAAGUUAAGAAUAAUGUGUGUAUUGUAUGAACUGAGAUCGCUAAAUUAACUGUGUGUCGACACAUUGCUGACGGAGAUGAAAACGGAGCAGGGAGGAGGUGUGUUAGUUUACCAAAUGCUGUCCGCGGCCAGUGACUGACUUCUCCGUCAAACGGUGAUAAUGUAUUGGGCCUGUAGCUUACUGCACAAAACUCAUUGCUACAGUAAUGUUUUUAAUUGGUUAAUGUUGUAUAGGCGUACGUUUUUUAAGUCGCGUUAAAAAGAAAAGCUGAUUGGUAGAUCUCGGCUUGCAUUUUGACUCAAAGGUUGGUGACGACUGUUCUAGAGUUUUCCCUGUUAACACCAACGUGUCCCUUUACUCUGGUAAACGUUAUCAACGGAAUAUUAUCCACUUUCACUGCAACAAACCGAAACUAAACCAACUAUGUAAGAGAUGUUGUAGACAGGACGCAUCGGAGUAGGAUUCUAUUGCAUUGACAAGACUCAUCCUGUACUCGACACAGACCGGUGCGGCAGAAAAUCCAAUCUGCCUGACAGCCUCACCCAGAAGACACUGGGCCUUUCUAGACUGACAAAGCAGAGAUGGGUGGCUGACAAGGAAACAUAAAACACAACACACAUUAUCCACAAUGUAAAUACGUUGGAAUGACUUGUUUAUUGCAUGUUUUGCUGCAUUUUAUUUGAGGAUUGGAGAGAUCUACUCCUUCAUGUCCGUUCUCAAUAUCUACACAAUUACUCUCCAUAUCUAUCAAAUUAAAGGGGGAUUGAUAAUAUUGUAAAGGACUAAGGCUUCAUGUUUACAGUUUGAGGAAAUGAUGUGCUUUUUAUCUGAGUUGAAAACAUGCCUCUCUCUCCCACACACACAAUGAACACGACUCACACACAUUAGACCCAAUGUAAAUACAUUGGAAUGACUUGUUUAUUUGAUGUUUUGCUCCAUUUUAUUUGGGGAAAACAUCUGCAAUAAAGUACAUUGACA